rnacentral:rRNA from 1 species
GACGAACGCUGGCGGCGUGCUUAACACAUGCAAGUCGAACGGAAAGGCCCUGCUUUUGUGGGGUGCUCGAGUGGCGAACGGGUGAGUAACACGUGAGUAACCUGCCCUUGACUUUGGGAUAACUUCAGGAAACUGGGGCUAAUACCGGAUAGGAGCUCCUGCUGCAUGGUGGGGGUUGGAAAGUUUCGGCGGUUGGGGAUGGACUCGCGGCUUAUCAGCUUGUUGGUGGGGUAGUGGCUUACCAAGGCUUUGACGGGUAGCCGGCCUGAGAGGGUGACCGGCCACAUGGGGACUGAGAUACGGCCCAGACUCCAACGGGAGGCAACGGUGGGGAAUAUGGAACAAUGGGCGGAAGCCGAAUGCAGCAACGCCGCGUGCGGGAUGACGGCCUUCGGGUUGUAAACCGCUUUCGCUUGUGACGAAGCGUGAGUGACGGUAAUGGGUAAAGAAGCACCGGCUAACAACGU